rnacentral:rRNA from 1 species
AGAGUUUGAUCAUGGCUCAGAAUCAACGCUGGCGGCGCGCUUAACACAUGCAAGUCGCACGAGAAAGGGAGCAAUCCUGAGUAAAGUGGCGUACGGGUGAGUAACACGUGGAUCAUCUACCUUUUAGUGGGGAAUACCUCCGGGAAACUGGAGACAAUACCGCAUAAGCUCGUGAGAGGAAAGCAGCAAUGCGCUGAAAGAGGAGUCCGCGGCUGAUUAGCUAGAUGGCGGGGUAACGGCCCACCAUGGCGAAGAUCGGUAGCCGGCCUGAGAGGGCACACGGCCACACUGGCACUGAAACACGGGCCAGACUCCUACGGGAGGCAGCAGUGGGGAAUCUUGCACAAUGGGGGAAACCCUGAUGCAGCGACGCCGCGUGAGCGAUGAAGCCCUUCGGGGUGUAAAGCUCUUUCGACGGGAACGAUAAUGACGGUACCCGAAGAAGAAGCUGCGGCUAACUACGUGCCAGCAGCCGCGGUAAUACGUAGGCAGCAAGCGUUGUUCGGAAUUACUGGGCGUAAAGAGUGUGUAGGCGGUGUUCUAAGUCUGUUGUGAAAUCUCCCGGCUCAACUGGGAGGGUGCGGCGGAGACUGGAAUGCUAGAGUAUGGGAGAGGUAAGCGGAAUUCCUGGUGUAGCGGUGAAAUGCGUAGAUAUCAGGAGGAACACCUGGUGUAGACAGCUUACUGGACCAUGACUGACGCUGAGACACGAAAGCGUGGGUAGCAAACAGGAUUAGAUACCCUAGUAGUCC